UUUUCGCAAUGCCCGAAAGGGUGACGAAGCGACGCCGCGUGGGUGAGGAAGGCCUUCGGGUUGUAAAGCCCUGUCAAAAGUUAAGAAAUGUAAGUGCGCUAAUAUCGCAUUUAUUUGACGAAGGCUCCAAAGGAAGCCACGGCUAACUCUGUGCCAGCAGCCGCGGUAAUACAGAGGUGGCAAGCGUUGUUCGGAAUUAUUGGGCGUAAAGAGCACGUAGGUGGGUUUGUAAGUCAGAUGUGAAAGCCUUCUGUUCAACGGAAGAAUUGCAUCUGAAACUACAAGUCUUGAGUGUAGGAGGGGAGAAUGGAACUUCUGGUGGAGCGGUGAAAUGCGUAGAUAUCAGAAGGAACGCCGGCGGCGAAAGCGAUUCUCUGGCCUAUUACUGACACUCAGUGUGCGAAAGCUAGGGGAGCAAACGGGAUUAGAUACCCCGGUAGUCCUAGCCGUAAACGAUGGGCACUAAGUAGAGGGGUU
rnacentral:rRNA from 1 species